UACGUAGGUCCCGAGCGUUGUCCGGAUUUAUUGGGCGUAAAGCGAGCGCAGGUGGUUUAUUGAGUCUGGUGUAAAAGGCAGUGGCUCAACUAUUGUAUGCAUUGGAAACUGGUAGACUUGAGUGCAGGAGAGGAGAGUGGAAUUCCAUGUGUAGCGGUGAAAUGCGUAGAUAUAUGGAGGAACACCGGUGGCGAAAGCGGCUCUCUGGCCUGUAACUGACACUGAGGCUCGAAAGCGUGGGGAGCAAACAGG
rnacentral:rRNA from 1 species